rnacentral:rRNA from 1 species
CUCCUACGGGAGGCAGCAGUGGGGAAUCUUGCACAAUGGGGGAAACCCUGAUGCAGCGACGCCGCGUGAGGGAUGAAGCUUUCGGAGUGUAAACCCUUUCGACCCGGAAGAAUGCCCGCAAGGGUUUGACGGUACGGGUAUAAGAAGCCCGGCUAACUACGUGCCAGCCGCCGCGGUAAUAC